AUGCAGACAAUUAAAAUCACCAAGAAGUUACAAGAAUUCACAGAAUGCAUAAUAUAGUUGAAAGGAAAUUACGAAAACUUCCCAGGACUGGAAGUAAAUAAAGGUAAUGAUCCAGAGAAGUAAUCAACCUAAGAGGCCAGGGCUCCACUCAGAUGCAUCUGAUUACAAGAAUGUCAGGUCCAUGUGGGUUGUUCCCUUCUGACAAGGCAAAUGGAAUAAACAAAGAGAAACUGCCUGCAGGCAUUGGAAUGCGGUGUCUCCCAUAUGUGAGGAUUAAAUUAUAAAUUAUGUUGCACACAAGGAGAUGAGCUACUGGGGUGAAGCAUCAGAAGAAAUUAUAUGGCACAUAAAUCUCAGAUAUUGAAUUUAUAUUUAAAUGUUUAAGUCAAUAUAAUGGAAAAACAAGAAACCAAAAUAAUGUGGAAAGAAACUAAGAGCUUGUCAAGCUAUCUUUGGAAAAGAGGCAAAUGCAAAGUAAAGUAUUGAAAGUGUUGUAAAACAAUUUAAUGUACAACAUACAAAUAACAUAUUAAAAUAGGCUGAGCCAAAAAGAGGGCUAGUAAAGUGAAAUGCUGAUCACAAUUAAUGUAGUCGUAUAUAUUAUAGAAGGCAAAUUAAUAGAAAAUAUAAAUGUAUUUUUAUAUGAAGAUUAGAUUGAGAAGAAAUAAAAAGCAUUUAAUUGUUUUACCAGACUCUCUAAAUAGGAAGGCGACAAAGAAUCAGUGACUCAUAAGUUUCAGAAAUUGGAAACCAGACAUGAAUCCUUUAAAAGUUUAGGGUGUAAUAUAUGAAAAAAAGGUAAAUUAAGAAAUACUUAGAAGAAAUAAUGGUUUGGGUUAUGGUGAAUACUGCUUAAUAAACAUGAGAAUGCAGUUAUCUUUUUUGACAUGCUUAUUUUGUUUCCCUUUGAUAUAAACCCAGCAAUGAGAUUGCUGGAUCAUAUGGUAGUUCUAUUUAUAAUUUAUUGAAAAACCUCCAUACUGUUCUCCCUAUAGAAAUGGGAAAUGAUUGUACUAAUUUACAUUCCUACCAACAGUGUAUAAGUGCCCAUCUACAGAAUGAACAAAGAAAAUGUUAUACACACACACACACACACACACACACACAGACAGAAUAAUGUUCAGUCAUAAAACAGAAUGAAGUUCUGUCAUUUGUGUCAACAUGGAUGAGCCUAGAGGACAUUAUGUUAAGUGGAAUAAGCCAGGCACAGAAAGAAAAAGACCACUUGCUCUCUCAUGUGAAAUCUGAAGAAGUCCGUCUCAUAGAAGUAGACAGUAGGAUGGUGGUUACCAGAGGUUAGUGAUGGCAGAAGGAUGAAGGAGUGGGGAGAGCUUUGUCACUGGGUUACAAAGUUACAGUUAGGAAGAAUAAAUCCUGGUGUUCUAUUACACAGCACGAUGACUAUAGCUAAUAAUAAUGUACCGUUUAUUCUAUAAUAGCUUGAAGCGAGGAUUUUGAACUUUAUUAGCACAAGGAAAUAAAUGUUUAAAGUGUUAAAUAUGCUAAUUACUCUGGUUGGAUCACUGUACAGUGUAUAUGGUACAAUGUGAUGCAGUGACACAUCACACCGUACGCCAGAAAUAUUACUGGUUCAGCAGGGAACUGUGGGACACAGAGCAGCUCCACGUUAGCCAUGACCAGCAGCUUCACCUGUGUAGGGUAGCGAGAGGGGAAGGGGCCUGUGCUUGGCUGAGAGUUGACCCCUGACCCCAUCCACUUUGACUGCUGGGUGCCAGCAG
rnacentral:lncRNA from 10 species